rnacentral:rRNA from 1 species
UACGUAGGGCGCAAGCGUUAUCCGGAAUUAUUGGGCGUAAAGAGCUCGUAGGCGGUUUGUCGCGUCUGCCGUGAAAGUCCGGGGCUCAACUCCGGAUCUGCGGUGGGUACGGGCAGACUAGAGUGAUGUAGGGGAGACUGGAAUUCCUGGUGUAGCGGUGAAAUGCGCAGAUAUCAGGAGGAACACCCAUGGCGAAGGCAGCAAACUGGGCAUUAACUGACGCUGAGGCGCGAAAGCGUGGGUAGCAAACAGG